CCUCUGCCUCCCGAGUGCUGGGAUUAAAGGCAAGCGCCACCACCGCCCGGCUUGCCUUUUUUUUUUUUUUUUUAACAAAAUAAAACACCAAGGCACAAAUUUUUUUUAAAAAGUUCACCAAGUAAAAUAUUCCCGGUUUGUUUGUGUAAUAUUUAAUCCUUGGCAGUUACCACAUAUCUCAUAUUCUCUUUGCAGACCACUUUACCUACUUUUCUAGUUACUUGAAAGCACACACUGGAUAUACAGUUUGGUGCUCUACAGUCACUUCCAUGGAGUAUUGAAUAAAUAACUAUGGACUUUCAUAUGGAUAUAUAUAGUAAAUAGGAUUUGGGGAGCUGACUGUGGCACAUCUCUACAGAUAAGGUCCAGAGACGUGCCUUAAAUGGAACACAGCACUGCAUUGUUGUAAUUUCCUGUUUGCUGAUCUCUCUCAAGAGGACUGAAGCUGAAUACUCAUCUUUCUGCACUUCUGGAUCACCAAGUGUUUACCAUGAAGCAGCUGUUAAGUAAUUACCUCCCCCCCCCAAAAAAAGAGAGAGAAUAAAAAGGACACGAAGGCACAAAAUGGGCACUUGAAAUCCACCUGCAAAAGUUACUCAUGCAAUUGAAGCAUUAGAGAAGCCUCCUGAGUGCCAAAGAAGUUAGGCUCUACAAAAGAGAACUCCAACAGUGCCGCACGGCGCAGCCACUACAUCCUUAGACGCUUCCGGAAAUGAUCACCGUGGGGCUUUUCAAAGCCCAGAGGAUUUCUACAUUAAAAUAAAGCAACAGACAUCAAGCCUAGAAUGACUUCAGAGUUGCAGAUAUGAACUGCACCGAAGGAUGGAUGGUCUGCUCCAAAUGACAGGACAAAGGGCCUGGACCCAGUCAAUUUCACAGUGAUGAUACAUGUAGAUGACCUGAGGCACAAGCUGUGAUUGAUCCUAAGAAAAUGAAAGUUAGAAUGUCGUUCCAAAUCCUUAUUUCAUGAUUUCAAA